rnacentral:lncRNA from 1 species
AACGCCUUGUGAAAAACGUCCGAGAUGAAGAGAUCGUCCCCCGGAGAGCCUUCCACCAUGCCCGAGAAGUCGGCGUGCGGCGGCGAGAAUGCGAGGUCCAAGCCCAUCCGCUUGAGCAGCUCCGGCGCUUGGACCCCCAGCGAGAUCUUGAACUUCGGGAGCUGGAAGUCGCCCACUUCCACCUCGUGGAUGCCCGCGAGCGCGUUUCCCAUGGAUUCGGCGUCGUGGAGGCUGCUGACGAGCGCCGGCAGGCCCUGGAGCUCGG